rnacentral:rRNA from 1 species
UACAGAGGGUGCGAGCGUUAAUCGGAAUUACUGGGCGUAAAGCGCGCGUAGGCGGCUUUGCAAGUCGGGUGUGAAAUCCCCGAGGCUUAACCUGGGAACUGCAUUCGAGACUGCAUUGCUGAGAGUAUGGGAGAGGGAAGUGGAAUUUCCGGUGUAGCGGUGAAAUGCGUAGAUAUCGGAAGGAACAUCAGUGGCGAAAGCGACUUCCUGGACCAAUACUGACGCUCAUGUGCGAAAGCGUGGGGAGCAAACAGG